CGCGAGGAGAAAGGUCUCAUUGUAGAAGGACAUUGCGGCUGUGUGAGAGGCCCACAGAAAACUCAACAUGUCAUCAGCUCUGCUAGCUAAACCUCAAAUGAGAGGCCUUCUGGGUAAACGCCUCUGAUUUCACAUUUUCGGCGCCUUUGCUGUCUCUCUAGGAGUCGUAGCUUUGUACAAGUUUGGCGUUGCAGAGCCAAGGAAGAGAGCAUAUGCAGAUUAUUACAAGAACUUUGAUGCCACAAAGGAAUACGAAGCUAUGAAGCAAGCUGGUGUUUUUCAUUGUGUUCGACCAAGAGAAUAGUACAAUGUAAAAGAUAAAAUGCAAUGUGUUUGGACCCUUU